rnacentral:rRNA from 1 species
AUGAAUCCAGAACUUGAGAUCAUAAAAGCAGUCCUUAUGAAAAGCUAUGAUGGUUUACCCUAUUACCUCAAGGCUUGUUUCUUGUAUCUUGCCAUCUUUCCUGAAGACUACAUGAUUCUGCGGAGACGCUUAGUGCGUCGGUGGAUUGCAGAGGGUUACUCAAGUGAGGUGCGUGGCAAGUCUAUGGAGGAAGUAUUGGACGGUUACUUCAUGGAACUUAUAAGUAGGAGCAUGAUUAUGCCAUCUCAACAGUCAAUUCAUAGCAGGAAAGGAAUUGACUCCUGCCAUGUCCAUGAUCUCAUUCGUGAAAUUGCAAUCUCAAAGUCUAUGGAGGAAAAUCUUGUUUUCACAUUGGAGGAAGGGUGCAGCUUAAACAACCAUGGCACUGUGCGUCAUCUUGCUGUAAGCAGCAACUGGAAGGGGGAUCAGUGUGAGUUUGAGAAUAUAAUAGAUUUGUCCCAUGUACGAUCGUUGACAGUGUUUGGAAAUUGGAGGCCGUUUUACAUUUCUGAGAAGAUGAGGUUGCUACGAGUGCUGGAUUUGGAAGGCAAGUGGGAUCUAGUUGAUCAUCACCUUCAACACAUUGGGAAGCUUGUACAUCUUAGAUAUCUUUCUCUCAGGGGACAUGCUGAUGUAUUUCACCUGCCAAACUCAUUGGGGAACCUGAGACAGCUCCAGACACUAGAUAUUUCAGGUUGUUGUGUGGCAUGUUGUGCACCUACUUGUUUGGCAGAGGAGCUUGAACUUGAGGAUGAAGCACAACUUAACAGGCGUGAUGUAUGCACUGCAUUCUGUUGCAGCAUAUUACCUUAUUAUGCAGCAGGAGGACGAAAUCCAGGUGGUGUUGAAGUGCCAAGAUGGAUUUGGAAACUGAAGGCCCUGCACACACUCCGUGUUGUCGACGUCUCAGUGGGAAAGGCUGUUCUACAAGAUAUAAAAAAGCUCACCCGGUUGCGCAAGUUAGGAGUGACAGGCAUCAACAAGAGAAACGGUCAGGAGUUGUGUGCAGCAAUUGCUUGUCUCAGCAGCCUGGAGUCAUUGUCACUGCGAUCAUAUGGAAAGGCAGGUUUAUCAGGUUGCUUGGAUGGCUUGUCCUCACCUCCAGAAAACCUGCAGAGCCUCAAGUUGAGAGGCAACCUGGUUAAACUGCCGGAGUGGAUCCACUGGCUCAAAAAUCUCGUGAAGCUGAAGCUAGAGUGGUCGAGCAUAUCGGAGCACGAUGCUGCCAUACAAGUCCUUGGAAAUCUAUCAAACCUGGCCACCCUACGUCUAUUGGAUGACUCGUUCGUUGGUGAAGAGGUCCGUUUCAGUUUCUGUCAGGAGGCAUUCCCAAGCCUGAAGGUGCUGCAGCUGGAUUGCGUAAGGAACCUCAAGUCGGUGGGAUUUGAAGAAGGAGCAGCCCCUAAGCUUGAGUUGCUGCAGUAUAGUGGUUGGAACAAUGACUUCAGGGUUGGGUUGUUCUCUGGGUUACCAUGCCUCCCAAGCCUCAAAGAAUUUAUGCUGUAUAGGGAGCACUGGGAGAAGACUGAGGUCGUGGAGCACUUGCGAGGCCAGCUGGCGGAGAACAUAAAUGGGCCCGUUUUGAAGAGUUGGCAGUAG